CAGACUCUUUUUACCACGGUUAUGAAUCGAGGCAUAAAAUGAUAAGAUUUUGCCUUGGCUCAAAAUUAUCCAAAGCAGUAGGGUUUUUUAUUUUUUUUUUUUAAUUUUUUCGCAGGACUUUAUGCCUCGGUUAGCUCUGAACCGAGGUAGUAUGUCCGCCUCUACUGCCUCAGUUGGGACCUAAACCGAGGCAAUAUGGUCUUUUUUAAUUCUUUUUUUUUGCUUCUUUCGCCAGCCUUUAUGCCUCAGCUGAGGCCUGAACCGAUGCCAUAUAAGG
rnacentral:lncRNA from 1 species